UGCCAUUUCCCCGUUCCCCAUCUCACACCCUCUCCCGGCGACGAGCCAAAUCCCGCAUGAAAUCCCUAGCUUCGCCGCGAGCGUGGGAGACGACAGAGCCGGCGGUGAGUCUAAUUCAACGAGCGCGGUGACGGCCUGGCGAAGGAUCCCGUAGCAGUUCGACGGGGCGAGGGCGGCGCGCACGUGCCGUACAAGGAGGAGAAGGCAGCGGCGACGGGGGAGGGGGGUGGAGAUGGUGGUUCAGCGUGAGGCAGCGACGAGCACCCGGAGAGCAAGAUCCCGCUUGCUUCGAUGACCUAGGCAAGGCAAGGGCACCUCUUUUUUUAUUUUUUCACCAACACCCCUCCGGGCAGUGACAAAAUCACAAUACUUGAUGUCGCCCCAAUAUCAUAAGCCCCACCUCUCGACCUUGAAGCAGGGCUGAGGCCAAAGAAGAGAUUAAUGCCACUACGAGUAGCUGUAUCAUUUCCGACACUCGAGAUUCUGGACAAGGAGAUCCAAAGGAGAUAGGGCAUUAUUGGCUAAUGGUGCUGAACAUCAAGGACAAGCAUUCGAGGUACUGGACUCGGCAAGGACGUUCAAGGACAAGGCAUUAGUAGAAAAUGCAAACAAAAUCAUGAAGGGCAUUAAAAUAACCUGGGAGAGGCACUACAACAAGUCAAGUGUGCAGAAUGCAGAUUGGAAACUCCACGAAAUCAAGUGCACAAAGCAGGAUAACAG